UACAGGGGGUGCGAGCGUUGUCCGGAAUCACUGGGCGUAAAGGGCGCGUAGGCGGCUUCUCAAGCGUGCGGUGAAAGCUCGGGGCUUAACUCCGAGUCUGCCGUGCGAACUGGGAGGCUUGAGUCUGGUAGAGGUCGAUGGAACUCCGGGUGUAGCGGUGGAAUGCGUAGAGAUCCGGAAGAACACCGGUGGCGAAGGCGGUCGACUGGGCCAGAACUGACGCUGAGGCGCGACAGCGUGGGGAGCAAACAGG
rnacentral:rRNA from 1 species